AGUACGCGUGCUGAUCGAGACAUCGACAGCCGAGAGCAAAGAUCGUAUAACGCCGAGUGAAGCCACAUUCGAGCAUGUCGACACACUGAACACCCAGAGACCAGGUGGCACCCAUGGGGAGGCCAGGUCAGAGUUUGGACCAUUGGCGGACGGGAGCCCUGGCAGCUAGGAUAGUGUGACACCGGGCUAUACCCAGAACAGACCCCAUGCCACAGCCGGUCUGGACUACCGAGAGGUGGACAUGGAGAUCACAUUCUGGAAGCAAGGACAUGUAGCAAGUCUGAAGUUUUUCUCACUGGCAGACCUCAUAGGAGGGGUACGCAUCACCCAGGGCCAAAGCGACAGGUGGACUGAAGUUGAGUCCAUCCAAUGGCUUUGCCUGGAUUUUCUUCGCAAUGAGAGCAAGAUUUCUUUCUGGUGUUGCUACAAAGCAAUGUUCCAGUGUGUUCGCUUGAGCCCUUACGCCACAUAAACCCUGUUGAUGAACUCCGCACAGCCAGGAGUGCAUACCAGCUGUUGGAAUCCUUCAGCUUGUUUGCCUUCAUUCUUGUGACAGACCUGCUUUGUGAGACAACAGACCUCCAGAAACUGUCCUGCGAUCAUGCCCUGGCGGAUACAGGCCGAUGGUCUCCGGGUAGAAUCAACGGCCACAACUUCCGAGAAAUUAGGCCUGUUGUGUGCCAUCAUUGCUCACGUCAUCUGCUCAGUCUUCUCCAUGUUCUCGGCCAAGGUUCUCAUGCAUAUGUGCGUGGCUUAUGCUUGAUGCUGUUUUAAAAUUUGGGAGAGAAAAAUCCAUGAACUCGGCCAGGUAAGAGCAACUGCAUC